rnacentral:rRNA from 1 species
GAUGAACGCUGGCGGCGUGCCUAAUACAUGCAAGUCGAGCGAACAGACGAGGAGCUUGCUCCUCUGACGUUAGCGGCGGACGGGUGAGUAACACGUGGAUAACCUACCUAUAAGACUGGGAUAACUUCGGGAAACCGGAGCUAAUACCGGAUAAUAUAUUGAACCGCAUGGUUCAAUGGUGAAAGACGGUUUUGCUGUCACUUAUAGAUGGAUCCGCGCCGCAUUAACUAGUUGGUAAGGUAACGGCUUACCAAGGCAACGAUGCGUAGCCGACCUGAGAGGGUGAUCGGCCACACUGGAACUGAGACACGGUCCAGACUCCUACGGGAGGCAGCAGUAGGGAAUCUUCCGCAAUGGGCGAAAGCCUGACGGAGCAACGCCGCGUGAGUGAUGAAGGUCUUCGGAUCGUAAAACUCUGUUAUUAGGGAAGAACAAAUGUGUAAGUAACUAUGCACGUCUUGACGGUACCUAAUCAGAAAGCCACGGCUAACUACGUG